UACGUGUGAGGCAAGCGUUAUUCGUCUUUAAUGGGUCUAAAGGGUGCGUAGGUGGCGUCGUAAGUCAGGUGUGAAAUCUCGGGGCUCAACCCCGAAACUGCACUUGAUACUGCGAUGCUUGAGUACUGGAGAGGAGAUUGGAAUUUACGGUGUAGCAGUGAAAUGCGUAGAUAUCGUAAGGAAGACCAGUGGCGAAGGCGAAUCUCUGGACAGUUACUGACACUGAGGCACGAAGGCCAGGGGAGCAAACGGG
rnacentral:rRNA from 1 species